CGCCGGCGGGGUUGCCGUCGCGGCCCGGCUGCUGCCGGUGGCCGAGGCCGAGCACACCGUCGAGCGGAUCGCGCCGCUGCUGGCGU
rnacentral:tRNA from 1 species